GGUUGAGUGGUUCCAUAUUUUGUAUUACUAAUAAAGUACGCAAGAAUCUCUCUCUUGAGAGUACCUUUCUCUCUCUUAAGAGUUGUGCCUUUUUCUUCCUGGGCGUGGAAGUUUUCAAAAAAGUUCAAAAAAUUCAAAAAUAAACACCUUGAUUUUCCAAUUCCCACCCACCAAAAAACUCUCAGAUUAAGCGAGUAUAGACAACCAUUUACACUUGAAAUACUGCCCGAAUCUUUGCAAUCUUAGUUUUACUGUUGGCCCUCCAAAAAUUGAGACUGCAACUGCUGCGGGAGCUAGAAACUGAGAUAGAAGGUGCAUAGAUGACGCAGUUAUACUAAAUUUCCACUCGAUUGUACCAUUAGCUAGACAGGUAAAGUUUUAGUGGCACCCUAUUGAUUCGGGUUAGCGGUUAAAUUUCUCUUUUUUCUUUUUUCUUGUUCGUUUGUGUACCUUUGCGGGGUUGUUCCUGUGCUUAGUGUUUAUGUGAGUAGGUGUAGUCUCUUUCUGUUUCGUUUGCUUGUUCUAGUUUAAGAUCUCUUCAAGAUUGUAACUAUGUUUGGUAUACCUCUGGUGGUUGAGUUACUAUGACUGAGGAACUAGCAGAUAUAAUCCAGAAAUUUGCCCUUUCUGAGAAGGAACUGGGGGGCACAACUCUAGACCUGGAGGAUGCUGAUACUGGAGUUCAGGAGUGCCAACAAAGUUUGGUAGGGAAAAUAGUAGGGGAGAAAAUAGCUAACUUUGUAGGGGUGAAAAACUUUGUUAGUCUGGCUUGGGGUUACCCUUGCAGCCUUAGUGUCAUGAAGUUAGACCCUAACCUGUUUCAGUUUGACAUCCCUAUUGAGAAUGAUAGAGAAAGGAUACUGAAUGGAGGAUCGUAGAUUCUAGAUAACCAAAUUCUGGUUCUAAGAAGUUGGUAUGAUGGAAUAGAAGAUGACCAUAGUGCUUUUAAGAUGGCCCCUUUGUGGAUACAGGUAUGGAAUUUGCCAGUACACUGGAUCUCUAAGGAGGUGGGGUGAAAAAUUGGGUCAAUCUUUCAGGAGGUGAAAGAAGUUAUUAUACCUCAACCUGGAGGAAAGGAAGGUAGGCAUUUGAAAUUGUUAGUGAUAGCUGAUAUCUCACUCCCAUUACUGAGAGGCUCAACAGUUAAACUCAACGGAGUGUUGAAAUGGAUCAGUUUUAAGUAUGAAAGAUGUCCGGACUUUUGUUAUGGUUGUGGCAUAGUUGGGCAUAGUGAGAGGAACUGCAAAACGUCCCCUACCAUAGUGAGAGGAUGGACCUUGGCUGAGAGCUAACUGGAACAAAAGAAUGCCACAGAGUAAGUAGAAUAUUAGUUGAGGAAGGCAAGACAAGGUGGUGUGGGGAUUCAACGAUGGAGAAUUGGUGCGAAAGGCAACAACUGUGGUUUCACAAAUUAAGUAACAAGGCAAGGUAGGGAAUAAUGAACCAGAGAUAAUAAGAAGAGAGGACCACAAACAAUAUGGAAAAGGACAAAGAAUAGACUCUUGGAAUUCCUCUAAUUCUCUGAGUAAGGAAGCUUUCAUUGAGGGCCUGAAUUCAAUAAGUAAUGAACUAGGCACUGGAGGGGUGCAAGAGAAGGAGUAUGGUAGGACUUGGACUGGGAAGGGUACUAAGCAUAUAGAAUAAGGAACAGUUGAGAGGAGCAGUGGUAUGCAGGAAAAUGAAGAGGGGACUGCAGGAGGAAUGGAUACAGGAAUGGAAGAGAUGAUGCAGGUAGAAGAAGCUAUCCAAGAAAGGAGUCAGGAGGCAAUUCAGAAAAUGAAUAGAAGGAUUAGAAGACAAUUGAAGUCCCCCACUAGGAAAAGAGCUCCGUUAAGUGAAGUAGAUGGAAACAUUAGGAAACUGGAACUAAAUGGGAAGAGAAAAAACUAUCAAGAGGAUACUGAUAUGGUAGAGAUUGGGGAGGAGAUGAUAAAUUCUAAAUGGAAUAAACUGGAUGAAUCCUUGGAGUCAUGGACAGAAGAAGCUGAAAGUGGGGGACCAACCUAAAUGGGUCCCUAAGUGAUCCAUGAGAGCUCUAGUGUGGAAUUGUCAAGGAGCAGGGAGCCCCUUGACAACUCCCCAGCUGAGGGAGGCUUAUAACCUUCUCUCCCCAAGUGUUGUCUUUUUGAGUGAAACUAAAAAUAGAGAUAAGUUUAUGGAGAGUGUGAGCAACAUAUUGCAUUUUGACCACAGUAUAGUAGUGGAUUCUAUGAAUAGAUCUGGUGGUAUGGCUUUAUUUUGGAAGCAAGAAGUGAGUGUAAUAGAAAUAAAAAGGACAACCUUCACAAUUGAACCCCAUAUAGCUGAUAAUAACAAGCAAGUUGACUGGUGGCUGAUUGGCAUUUAUGCUAGUUGUGAUGCAGCAAUUAAAAAGAAUCAAUGGAAAGUGGAGAAGGGAAGAAAAAGACUGUGGGAAACAAGGUGGAUAAUUGUAUGAGACUUUAAUGACAUAGUCUCUAAUGAGAAAAAAUGGGGAGGAAGAGUGAGAGAGGAGUGAUCAUUCAGAGAUUUUAAGCAAUUCAUAACUGAUAAUGACCUUAUAGAUGUAGGUUUUGAUGGGAAUCAUUAGACAUGGUGCAAUAAUUGGGAGAAUAAAGGGAAAAUCAAGCAAAGACUGGACAGAAUGUUGUGCAGCUCCACCUGAUACCAAAGUUAUGAUAAAGCCAAAUGUAAAUAUGUAGACAACUAUAGCUCAGACCAUAGUAUGCUUUUGAUUGAUACAAAGCCUGAGGAGAACAAAAGAAGGAAAAAAUUUAUAUUUGAUAAGAGAUUGGUACAGAAAGAAGGAAUUGAACAGGUGAUUGCUGAAGUUUGGAAGGUGGAAGUGGAAGGAUCGAAAAUGUACAAGGUUACCAGGAAAAUCUCCAAUUGCAGAGUGAAACUGUUAAAAUGGAAAAAAGCUUUCAAAGUAAUUCCAGGAAAGAAAUUGACAGAAUUAAGGCUAUGAUUGAGAAGAGAAGAAAAUCACCUGAUUUCAAUAAAGGGACAAUGAAUGAGCUAAAGAAACAACUCAAGGAAGCAUACUCCAAUAAGGAAGUGUACUGGUCCCAAAAAUCAAGAAUGAUUUGGUUGAAGGAGGGUGAUAAAGACUCACAGUUUUUUCAUGCUAGUGUUAAAUGCAGAAGGAAAAGGAACAGGAUGUUGAAUAUUCAAAGAGAGGAUGGGACAUGGACAAGCUCUGAAAAGGAAGUAGGAGAGGAAAUGGCAUGUUAUUAUCAACAGCUCUUCGAUAGUCAAGGAGUUGAGGGAGUUGAGGAAAUGUUGAAUGGUAUACCAAACACAAUUACUGAUUAUAUGAAUGCUAACUUAACUAGAACUGUGACUGAGAAAGAGAUCCAGACUGCACUUUUCUCUAUGAACCCAAACAAAGCUUCUGGUCCUGAUGGUAUGACACCCCUUUUCUUCCAAAAAUUCUGGAGUAUUGUCAGACCUGAGGUGGUCCAAGCCAUCUAGAGCUUUUUCCACUCAGGCUUCAUGCUUAAGUUUCUAAAUCACAUAGUUGUCCCCCUGAUCUCCAAAAUUGACAUGCCCCUCAAUCUGAAGCACUAUAGACCCGUAAGUCUGUGUAAUAUCAUGUAUAAAAUCAUUUUCAAAGUGCUAGCCAAUAGACUCAAACAGACUCUUGAUCUCUGUAUAAGCAAAAAUCAGUCAGCUUUUGUCCCAGGUAGACAAAUUUUAGAUAAUGUCAUGUUGUCCUAUGUAUACCUUCAUUAUCUAAAAACAAAAGAACGGAGUCAGUAGGGUGCAUGGCUCUGAAACUGGACAUGUCAGAAGCUUAUGAUGGGGUCGAGUGGAAAUUGUUGGGUGUCAUCAUACAGAAAAUGGGGUUCUCUGAAACAUGGAUCAGAUGGAUAUGGAGUUGCAUCUCAACAGUAUCAUACUCCUUUAAGAUGAAUGGUGACCAGAGUCGAUAUGUCAUUCCCAAAUGAGGUAUAAGACAGGGGGAUCCCUUAUCCCUCUACUUGUUCCUAAUCUGCUCAGAAUGAUUAUCUAAUCUGUUGAGAAGAGCUGAAGAGAUGAAGCAGAUUUCAGGAAUGAGUAUCAGCAGAAAGGGACCAUCAGUAUCCCACUUAUUUUUUGCUGAUGAUACACCAAUUUUCUGUAAAGCAAUCCCAGGUCAGGCUGAAGCACUUAUGAAGAUUCUGGCAGAAUAUGAAAAAAGAUCUGGUUAGAUAGAUAAACUUUGAUAAAUCAUCUGUGUUUUUCAGGAAGAAUUUAACUGAGGAGGAGUAAAUAGAAGUUUGCAGGAGGUUGGGAAACAUUUAGAAGGUUAGUGAAGGCAAAUACCUUGGUUUACCCAUGGUCAUCACAAGAUCAAAAGAACAACUCUUUGAUUCAUCAGAAAUAGUUGUCAGAGAAUGAUAGAAAGCUAGAAGAAUAAGUUAUUGAGUACUACAGGGAAGGAAAUACUUCUAAAAGCCAUCACAAUGGCUUUACCCACAUAUGCUUUGUCCUGUUUCAAGUUACCAGGAAAGCUAUGUAAGGACAUCAGUUCUAUGAUGGUUAGAUUCUGGUGGGGAGAAGAAAAUGAAAGGAGAAAGAUGCACUGGUACUCUUGGAGCAAGCUUACUAAGGACAAAAACAUAGGGGGACUGGGAUUCAGAGACCUACAAGAUUUCAAUAAGGCUCUUCUAGGAAAACAAAUCUGAAGACUAGUGACAUGUCUCAAUCUGUUGAUAAGUAAGAUCAUAAAAGCCAAGUAUUAACCAGACAACUCAAUAUUCCAAUGCAAGGUGAGCCAAACAGCUUCAUGGAUAUGGGAAAGCCUGAUGAGUGUUAGAGAGGAUGUGGGGAAGGGAAUGUGGAGGAAAAUUAGGAAUGGCAAGAGCACUCGGAGGACAGCUGGAUUCCAAAUAACAAAGAGGGGAAACCUUCAACCAACAAGCCUCAGAACUAUAGGUUACAAAAAGUGGAAGAACUGAUAACCAACUUCAGAUGGAAUAAACAUCUGAUAUUCAAAACUUUCAAUGGAAAAGAUGCUACAGAAAUACUCAAAAUCCCAGUUAGCUUGAGUGGAAGGGAACACUGCAAUUUUUGGACAGAGAGCAAUAAUGGAAAGUACAUUGUCAAAUCAGCUUACAAGUUUUUGAGUGGAGGAAAGGAUAUUCAACAUAAGGAAACCAGAUGGCAAGGGGAAUCAAGCAUCACUGGACAAAGUAAGAAGGGAUGGAAAUGGAUGUGGAAACUGAACAUCAAAGCCAAAUUGAAGAAUUUUAUGUGGAAAUUCUUGAACAGAGCUUUACCAGUGAAUGAACUGAUAUAUUGUAGGACCAGAAUGGGAGAGCCAAUAUGCCAGAUAUGUGGGGAAAGAGAGGAAACAACAGAGCACCUGUUCUUUUUCUGCAAUCAAGCAAAGGAAGUCUGGAAAUUGGUUCCAUUGCAGUGGGAUGGACUUGCAGAUUACAGAGGAAACUUCAAUAAGUGGUGGAAUGGUCUACUGGAAGUAGAGCUGUUAAUCGAACCGGGCAACUCGCGAGCCGAGCUCGACCCGGCUCGAUAAGGGCUCGGCUCGGCUCGUUAACAGAGAGAAACGAGCCGAGCUCGAGCUCUAAUGAGUACUCGUUUAUUAAACGAGCCGAGAAGACUCGGUUCGUAUAAGCUCGGUAGGCUCGAACGAUAGGGACAUUUUCGUCAUUUCAGCGUGUAUGUGGUACACUAAGUCAUCUCCCGUCUGCUGUAGCCCUAAUUUCUCCUUUCCUCUUUUGGUAUUUCGUUUUCCCGUCCCACAGGCCAGAGCCGUCACCCCAAUCCCCGCAGCCUCCAUUCUCACCGCCAAGCGCCAUCCUCCAUUCUCACCCCACCCCGCAGCCUUCAUUCUCACCGUCAGCCUCCAUUCUCCUAAUUUUUUCUUUUCCCCUUUCUGUCAACUUUUUUCCCAUUCCACACCUGCAGUCGCAGCCGCAGCCGCACCCUCUUGACAAAAGCAGCCCACUGAAUCAAGCGACUGAAUUCCUUCCUUGGCCAGUAGCUCGCCUGAUUCUUGCCACCGUCACUGACUCAUCAUACGGAGCAGCCAUACGGAGCCACCUCGGUAGAGCCAGGAGCCUCUACCAUACCCCGAUUCACUGCAUUCUGGAAUCACUUGAUGCGGCCGAAUCAAUCACAUUUGAGGAAGUUGAACUUCCUGAAUCAUUCACGAGCUGAUUUGGUGGCUGUUGAUGUUGCUUGGUGGCUUCUGAUAUGUUUGGUGGCUGUUUAUGUAAACUUUUGAUGUUGUAAUCUGAUAUUUGGUUUGGACAUGUUAUCUGAUAUGUUUGGGGGCUGUUUAUGUAAACUUUUCAUGUUGUAAUCUGAUAUUUGGUUUGGACAUGUUAUCUGAUAUGUUGGUGGCUGUUUAUGUAAACUUUUCAUGUUCUAAUCUGAUAUUUGGUUUGGAUAUGUUAUUUGAUAUGUUUUGGACAUGUUGUAAUCUGAUUUGGUUUGGAUAUUGUAAUCUGAGUUUUUAUAUUCGACCUGGCUUGCAAUAUUUGGCUUCAA